AUCACAGUUAGCAUGGUGUGGAAUGAUUGCUGGAGGUGACUUACUGAUAUGUCCCCCUCUUAGGGGAAGGUAAACCUCCAGGGUGGAAUGCAGUGGAUAUACACAAAAUCUGU